rnacentral:rRNA from 1 species
CCUACGGGCGGCAGCAGUGGGGAAUAUUGGACAAUGGGCGAAAGCCUGAUCCAGCCAUGCCGCGUGUGUGAAGAAGGCCUUCGGGUUGUAAAGCACUUUCAGUGGGGAAGAAAGCCUUGGGGCUAAUACCCUCGAGGAAGGACAUCACCCACAGAAGAAGCACCGGCUAACUCCGUGCCAGCAGCCGCGGUAAUACGGAGGGUGCGAGCGUUAAUCGGAAUUACUGGGCGUAAAGCGCGCGUAGGCGGUCUGAUAAGCCGGUUGUGAAAGCCCCGGGCUCAACCUGGGAACGGCAUCCGGAACUGUCAGGCUAGAGUGCAGGAGAGGAAGGUAGAAUUCCCGGUGUAGCGGUGAAAUGCGUAGAGAUCGGGAGGAAUACCAGUGGCGAAGGCGGCCUUCUGGACUGACACUGACGCUGAGGUGCGAAAGCGUGGGUAGCAAACAGGAUUAGAUACCCCGGGUCGUC